rnacentral:rRNA from 1 species
UUCUAAUAAAAUUAUUAUUAGUAAAAUCUGCUCCAUGAAAUUUUUUAAUAGCCGCAAUUAUAUUGUGCUAAGGUAGCAUAAUCAUUUGUCUUUUAAUUAAAGACUAGUAUAAAUGAUUUAACAUUUAAAUUUCUAUAUUUAUAAAUAUAUAUAUAUAUAUAUAAUAAAUUAUUUUAAAUAUAAAAAAAUAUUUAUAAAUUAAAAAGACGAUAAGACCCUAUUGAACUUUACUUAAGUUUAACUGGGGUAGUUAAUUAAUUAUCAUUUUAAUAAAAAUAAUAAUUUAAAAGAUCCAAAAUAUUUGAUUUCAUGAUUAAGUUACCAUAGGGAUAACAGCAUAAUUAUUUUUAAAAGAUCUUAUUAAAAAAAUAGAUUAUGACCUCGAUGUUGAAUAAUUUUCUAAUAAAAGCAAAAAUUUAAAUAAGAAAGUCUGUUCGACUUUUAAUUAAUUACA